rnacentral:misc_RNA from 1 species
CAACUCUCAAGCUCUGCUUGGCACUGGGUGUCACCUUGCAAUUGUGGUGCAUCUCAAAAUCAGUGGCAGUGCCAUCUGGCCCCGAGUGUAGUAAAUUUCUCGCUUUGGAGGCUUUGAUAUACGCUUGCCAACAACAAAUUUUUAAG